GGAGGAAAGUAGGGGAUCGCAAGACCUUGCGCUCUUGGAGCGGCCGAUGUCUGAUUAGCUAGUUGGUGAGGUAAAGGUUUACCAAGGCGACGAUCAGUAGCUGGUCUGAGAGGACGACCAGCCACACUGGGACUGAGACACGGCCCAGACUCCUACGGGAGGCAGCAGUGGGGAAUUUUGGACAAUGGGGGAAACCCUGAUCCAGCCAUGCCGCGUGAGUGAAGAAGGCCUUCGGGUUGUAAAGCUCUUUCAGCCGGAACGAAACGGUCACAGCUAAUACCUGUGACUACUGACGGUACCGGAAGAAGAAGCACCGGCUAACUACGUGCCAGCAGCCGCGGUAAUACGUAGGGUGCAAGCGUUAAUCGGAAUUACUGGGCGUAAAGCGUGCGCAGGCGGUUUUGUAAGUCAGAUGUGAAAUCCCCGGGCUUAACCUGGGAACUGCGUUUGAAACUACAAAGCUAG
rnacentral:rRNA from 1 species